UCCUGAUCCUUAAAACUUGCGAAGGAUUUCGUGAGAGAAAGAAAGAAUAAAGGAAGGAAGGAAAAAGGAAGGAAGGAAGGUAUAUAAAAAGAAAAAGAAAAAGAAAAAAAGAAGAGAAAAAAAGAAAGAAAAAAGGAAGAAAGAAAGAAAAGGGUCUAACCCAGUAGCAGGAACAGCAAUAGCAAUAGUAAUAGCAAUAGCACGUAACGUGUUGCUGGCAGGCUGCGUGGAAAAUCGAAGAUAUUCACGAGGAUCGAGGGUGUUCAUCCUGAUGAGCUCUUGUGAAUAAAUAAUUCAUGAUUCUUUCCAGGAUAGAUAUCCUCCUUCCUUAGUUAGAGAAUGACAAAGAGAAAGAGAGAGAGGGAGAGAGAGAGAGAGAGAAAUAGAGACAGGGAAGAAGAGAAGCAUGCGCAUACGCACGUAGCCAGAAACGUAGAGAGAACGAACGUUCGGGGCGGGGUCCUGUUUGGUCAGGAUGACGCGAGAGGACUGACAGGAGGCAGAGGAGCGUAAAGGAGCGAGGUGAAAAAUGGACGACUGUUAAACGGGAUUUUAGCGUGUGUUGACCGAGGCAACGAAAUCUAUCGACUGUUUAGGAAACAAACGUCAUUUUGUUCAUUGCUAAAUGAUUAUUUAUCCGUUUCCUCUAUGAUAAUUCAAACAUAUUUUAUAGAAAUUUCCAUUCGGGAAGAAUCACAG